rnacentral:rRNA from 1 species
UACGGGGGGAGCAAGCGUUGUUCGGAUUUACUGGGCGUAAAGGGCGCGUAGGCGGUCGUGACAAGUCACUUGUGAAAUCUCCGGGCUUAACUCGGAACGGUCAAGUGAUACUGUCGGACUAGAGUGCAGAAGGGGCAACUGGAAUUCUCGGUGUAGCGGUGAAAUGCGUAGAUAUCGAGAGGAACACCUGCGGCGAAGGCGGGUUGCUGGGCUGACACUGACGCUGAUGCGCGAAAGCUAGGGGAGCGAACGGG